AGAUGUGUACAUAAUAUUGAAUUGCCCAAUAUAUUGAGUCAAUAAAAAAGUGUUGAAUUUUUAUUGUGCAAUGUGGUAAACAUUGCGUCGCCUGUGGACGAUAUUGCGCAAUAUUGGUUCAGUCCAGACGAUAUGAUAUCAGUUCUGUCUUUACAGUCGUGCGUUUAACAUCGACUAAUCAAAAAAUGGUUUCAAACGGAACCAAAGCAGAAGAAAGAAAAUUUAUCUUAGAAUGUAUCGAGUUAUAUCGGAGUUUACCAGCUUUAUGGAACGUGAAGUGUAAAGAUUACAACAACAGAAUUAAAAAAAAUGAACAAUACGAACAUUUGCUUCGUAAGUACAGAGAAAAGUAUCCCGUUGCUGAUAAAUCGCAGUUAGUUAAAAAAUUGAAUUCGUUGCGCACUAACUUCAGAAAGGAAUUGAAGAGGAUAAAGGAUUUUGAACAAAACUAUGCAGGAAGAGGCUACAUAAUGAAACCAACAUUAUGGUAUUUUGAGGAAAUGAAGUUUCUCACAAGUCUGGAAGAACAAAAUGAGUCUCAAAAUACUAUUAAGUUAAACUACGGCUACAAGAAAGAGCGUAAGGAGGGUACCAACGAGGAAAUGAAGUUUCUCACAAGUCUGGAAGAACAAAAUGAAUCAGAAAAUACUAUGAAGAUAGAGUAUGGCAUCAAGGAAGAAGAUGAAAUCAACAGUUUGGGCAAUAUUGGAACAAUCAUUAAUACUUUUACAAUUGGUAGCAAAAAUGGUCCUCCAAACAAGAAGGCAAGGAAACUCGACGAGUCUGAAGAAUUAAUAUCUCUGCCACGCAAACAUCUUGAACAACCUCAAACUUACUUUGACAAAAUUGCUUCAUCUUGGGCAGUAGAACUUCAGAAAAUGGUUCCACAGCAACAAUUGUUUGCGAAAAAGGCCAUCAAUGAUAUAUUGUUCGAAGGCCAAAUGGGCACUCUGCGCAGAGAUUCUGUGCAAAUUAAUUCUUCAUGUUGCACAUCUACUCCUUAUAACAGUAUGCAGCCAAGCCCCAUUUCAUGAUUCAACUCUCUGUACACAUGAAAACCAGUUAAUUAAAAGAACCUAAGGCACUCUUAUGCUUCUCAAUUGGUAAUGCCCCUCAACAGCAUUUCGUUUUCGAGAGUACCCCAUUCACAGGAUCUCGAGAGCGUGUGAAGAUCUGUAGUCCUCAGCAGGUUCUAACGAGCCUUGUUUCCUUCGCAAGAAUUUAACACGUUCAUAUGAUAUAUUCUUUUUUGGAAUGAAAUGAUCCUCAAACCGUUUAACGAUUAUUUCGUAAGAACUGAUUUUGUCUUCAAGAUGAGAUGAAUCCAAUAUUUAUUCCUUUUCGCCCAUGCAGUAUAUGAGUAUAUUGACUUGGUUCUUUCCCGGCGUAAUUUCCAACCGCUUAUCGCACGAUAGCGUUGGAAUCGCCUUUUCCAAGUUGCCCAAUCGAUUGGCUUAAACGUAAAAUUGUCAGACUUUACCUGCACGUGUCCCUCAAGCCAGGAUAUAACAAAAAAUUUUGCUUCAAUGCUAACUCGAGACUUGCUUGUAUCUAGACCUGGUCAUUAGACAGUCUAGAGACUGUCUGCGGCAAGUUGAGAGACCCCGGUCUACCAGUGUGUACGAGCCUUAAGAACUAUCUUUUAAAGUAGUCGAUAUAAUUUUAUACGAUUUUUCCCUGCAAUGCGGAUAUACCUUGUGGAAUUAUUAAGCUGGCAAACAGCAUUGGAUUUACUUUUCCAAGGUAUUCCCGUUCCUUCUACAUAAAGAAAAACCCUCUUCGGUCUUCCGUUAAAAACGAUUGUUGGUUAGUCGUUUUCUAUAAUUUUGACAUUUAUUUUUCCUAUCAGACUGGAUGACUGACACAUUUUUUAAAAUAACUUGGUAGAGAGUUGGGAAAUUUCGUUAAACUACCUAUUAGUACCUUUGUUAGUACAGUGAUAGUAUGAUUUAUGUACGAAAACGUCAUCAUUUUAGAGUGAUGACUUCCGUUUUUCCCUGACGGGGAGCAGAGGGAAUAGUCGCCUAGGGGUCCCCCCCCUGGAGCCCCCGUAAUUAAAUUUCAAGCACCGAUAUGUACUAAAUGAAACAAAAUGAAAAGAUACUUAUGUUAUAUAAAGGACAAAAUUAAAUAGAACGUGAAAUAGACAUGACCUUUCACUCAUGAGUCAAAACCGAUUCUGUCCUUCAAUGUUAACACCCACAACACUCGUAAUUCUCGUCCUUUAUCAGAACGAACACAAAAAUAUAACUAUUCACUGGCAUUUCUAGAAUUUUAUGUAUUGGUAAUAAGUUUUAUACUGUUGAUCUGUUUAAUAAUAAUAAUAAAAAUAUAUUUUUUAGAACUGAAAAAUUGUAAGUAAAUUU
rnacentral:misc_RNA from 1 species